GCAGGAAAAAUCCCAAUAGCCGCCUCGAUCUUGACCGAAGACGUGCCUGGGCCAUCCGGCCAGACUCCGUUUCAACCCUUAGACGCAGGCGGCGACGCCCCGAGCCGGGCCGGCCGUGGAUGCCUCCUCCAGACAGAGCUGACCCAUGCACACACA
rnacentral:misc_RNA from 1 species